rnacentral:misc_RNA from 1 species
UUUCCGUAGGUGAACCUGCGGAAGGAUCAUUAUUGUAUAACCGAGGUGCGAGGGCUGUCGCUGACCCGAAAGGUCGUGCACGCCCGAGUGCCCUCACACACAUCCAUCUCACCCCUAUGUGCACCACCGCGUGGGUCCCCCUUUGGCUUGUUCGGAGGGGGGCUUACGUUUUCACACAAACUUUGUAUGCAGUGUAGAAUGUAUUUUUGUUUUUGCGAUCACGCAAUCAAUACAACUUUCAACAACGGAUCUCUUGGCUCUCGCAUCGAUGGAGAACGCAGC